GUGAAUCAUCGAAUCUUUGAACGCAAAUUGCGCCUUUUUCGGAAGGCAUGUCUGUUUGAGUGCACCAUUUAAUUAAUAAUGUGAAUUUCGUGUGCAUACGUUGAUGAGCUUUCUAAAUUUAUGUAUUAUUUUUGGUGGCGCAUUAUAAACAGUGCGAUGCUUUUUAUUAGUUAGAGCGUAGUAAAAUUUUUACUUGUUUGGGUUGUGAAAAGCGUGAUUUCGCAAUGGGUGUGGCAAUAUAAGUUAAUC
rnacentral:misc_RNA from 1 species